AUUCCAUAGAACAUCGUCAAAUCUUUUGCUUGGGUUCAACUUUUUGCUAUUUUUGAUAUCAAUAGUGAACAUCAAUAUUCAAUUGAAACCCUAACUUGAAAGACGAAACCCCGAUUAAUUUAUGAAGGACGAUAAGCCCUAACUUUCUCUCUCCUUUGAGACGUAGCCACCAGAGCCGCGCCGUUCAUUUGCCCGACGAGAAUCGUGCUGUGAGAUAUAGCUGUCGAAGAGCGCUUCGAUAACAUCCAUUUGACGCUGGUUUGGCUUCCGAAGAUGUCGGCUUGCAGAACUACUUCCAGACUCUGACGCUAUAUAUGUUUGACGAUUGGUCCUAGGAAGCUGCUGCUGCUACCACAUUAAAGACUCGUUAAGGUGGUAUAUGGUGUUUAGGCGGAGCGAGAUGAUGAUAAUUAUGGAAGAGACGAGCUACCAACGCAUAGAUCUGGAACUCUCGAUGCCUGAUUUUACAUGGUUGCACCAGGGUAAAUGUGCACUAGCCAUCAGUGGCAAUUUUGUUUGUCGUUUGGUUUGCUAUUCUUGAACUUCAAUUCGCCGAGAAGAACACUACUACUUUUCCUGCUGCUUUCUGGGUAACCAAUCUAUUGCAGGUAACCAAUCUAUUGCCGAGGUUACAGAACCUUUUACUGGUCUCUUAAACAUUUCCUGCUGCUUUCUGGGUAACCAAUCUAUUGCAGGUAACCAAUCUAUUGCCGAGGUUACAGAACCUUUUACUGGUCUCUUAAACAUUUCCUGCUGCUUUCUGGAUAUGUCAAGACCGCACCACGUGCUACAGAGUUGCUUGAUGUGCGUAGAGAUCAAAAGCUCGAAAUGGUCAAGGAAUUUGAGUGAGAGAGUAAGCUUGUUAAAAAGAUUUCAGAGGUUAUGAUAUGGAUAUCAGAACAAGACAAUGCUUGCUUAACGCUCUUCCUGGAAAGGCGGGGAAAAGAAUGGACACCCUUACGGUGGCAGAAAAGACAGUGUAAUUAAACAUGUUGGAGGAGGGGAUUAUUAACCAUCCCAUUGUUAGUAUUGGAGAAUUUGGGCGGAAGUCCAAUGAAGUGAGGAUUCUUCUAGCUAAAAUCGAGGAAUCUGAGGUGUGUGUUCUUUGGCUGAAAUAAGCAAGCUAGAAGGAAUAAUUUUCUGGAGAAUGCUGCAUACUUCUCUACACUCUGAUCUGAACUGCUGCUGCUGUUUACUGCUCUGCUUACUUCUGCUGCAUACUGCUCUGCACUCUGAUUUGAACUGCUGCUGCUAUGUUGCAUCACUUAUGCGUCACCAAAAUGGCUGCUUCUUUCUUUGAUGAUGUUCGUCUCUUUUAAGAUGAGAGUUAUUAUGUUCUUGACCGUACCUUGGAUUUUGGGCUACUACUCAAGACGGUGCUUGCUGAUCUGUUUCUUGUUCCACUGGGCAUAAAUUAUGUUCUCUUAGUUGCAUAUACUAUCGUAUUGCUGCAGAUGAGGACCUAUCUAUUUAUUUGGAGUGUCUUCUUUCCUGAGUAAGUAAUUUAUGAGUAAUGGAUAUAGAAUAAGAAAUUACGACCAAGGUACACACUGGACCAGAAAAAUAAAAAUAAAUAUAAUAAAGCACCAGCACCUAGCUUGUAUUUCCAGGUACACAAGAAAGUGACUUCUUAUAUUUUUACGUUCUCCUUCUGCUUUAAGAUGGCGCGUGUAGUAUUUCUUUACUAUAUGAAUGUAGUACUAAAAUGUUGCUACCAUGGUAGUUCUCCUUUGGUAGCAUGGUAUUUCUUUAUGUGAAAGAAAGGAACUCGGAAUAAAAAGUCACAUACACUAUUAUAUUGAUUAAUUAUGCUAGUGUCUAAUCUUCGAUUUUUGGUUAAUAAAAUUACCUAUUUACUAAAAUACAAAUAACUAAUGACUUUCUUUUUUUGUGUAUAAUCUUACGGUUGGGAGCGAAAUAAAUCAUUUUAGUCAAAAUAUGACCUGUAAUGAUCAUACGAGCCUUAAAUGUGCAUAACUUGACCGAAGUAGGUGAGAGUGAGUCUUAGAAACAUUAAACCAAGUCUAAUAAACAUGGGUUUAAACUACUUAUUAUUUAGGUUCAUUAGUUGAAAGUUGUGAGCGAAAUAAGCCAUUUUAGUCAAAAUAUGACCUUUACUGAUCAAACGAGUCUUAAAUGUGCAUAAAGUAGGUGAAAAUGAGUCUUAGAAACAUUAAACUCAAUAUAUUUAAAAUGAGUCUUAUAUUUAUUUAGGUUCAUUAGGUGAAAAUGAGCGAAAAAGACCAUUUUAGACCAAAAUAUGACCUAUACUUGUGAGAAGCUGCUUCUGUCAAACAAAGUCCUUAGAUAUUUAGGCAUCUAGAAUAUGGAGUAAUGUUGUUAGAUGGUGUUGGGGAACAUAGAAGGACACCAGCUAAGUCAAUAAUGGGUUCCCAUAGUUAUAAUAUUUUUACAAACGAGGAGAAGUUUAUCAAAGCAGCUCAGAGUUGCAGCGUGGUGUUUCUGGGAUGGUGUGGUGGAGAUGGUGGCUGGGGAGGUUUGGCAAUGUGAAGCUUCCAGAAGGGGUAUCAUUUGUAAUUAGCCCAUUCAUUGGCAGAGUCUCAGAAAGCUAUAACUGUUGCCACAAAUUACAACAAUCGUGUUGUUGAAUGCAGACUUGCUGCUAUUCUGUUGGGUAUCAAACUCGGAAUGAACCCAAAAGAGGCAGCAUCCAAUGUCAAAACACUUUCUGAUGUUGAAGGCCUCUGUAUGUCCUUUGCUUGCAGUCAUGGCUCCACUGAUUACGGGAUAUCAAAUGUGCCAACAUAUUGGUGGCUUCAAAUGGAACAGUAAAAUUAGCAGAUUUUGGAUUGACGAAGAUCAGAGAGGAAGAUUGGCAUUUUCAACCGAAAGAUUUUAUCUCGAUCUACUAAACAAAAGAUCAAUGCAGUGGGGUGUGAUCCCAAGGCUAACGACAUGGGAUAUGGAGGAGAUUAGAAAAGCCAAGGAAGUGAAGCUA